AGGCACCUCUUUGUACUCCUGGAUCUGGCUCUGCUCGAACAUGGAGAACACGUUGGAGGAUCCCUCUCCUCCACCUGCCCUCCUCUUGGCCUUCUUGGGUGCCUGCAGGUGCACACGUCUCAGACAGAGAUGUCCCUGUAUCCCCAGCAUUGAGAGGAUUCAUCUUUCGAUCCCCAGAAGAACUCCGCUCACCUCGGCUGACUGUGGAAUUUUAAUCGAAGGUUAUUGAUUUUAUUGUCGGGUUUUUUAAAAUCUGAAAGAAAGUAUAUGCUGUCCUGUGCAGCUGUCAUUAGCAGCAGCAGCAACAACAACAUUGUAAACCCUAAUAACUAAUUUUAGUAAAUUCAUUGCCUGAAAUGUCUUACGUUUUGAAACCUACUUUUUAUUAUUAUUUAUGUAUUUACUUUUACAGAUGUUUGUAAUGCUAUACUGUGUUGAACGCGUGCAUGUCUGUGAGUUUCACACACAAACCAAAGGUAGCGAUCACUUAAAAGCAAUGCAUUGCUGUAAGUUAAGUUAGAGUAAUACCUCCAUCACCUCCAGAAUCAUCUGAUUUCCCAUCUGAGCUUUCUGUGAAGGGAGACUCAGAUUCCUCGGCAGUCUCGCUGCAGAGAGAGAGCCCGUUGUCUGCUGAAUCCAACACACCCCCCUUCAACACGACAAAAUGACGGACGGUCGCGCAAUACUUGGUCUAGCUUGUCAUAAACAGGAAAACUUGUUCCGUCAGCUCUGGUAGAUUUGCUGCUGCUGCUGUCCUUGGCUUUUCUGUAUAGCAGCUUCGGGUGUUUAAUUUUGCGCUGGCACUGUAGUCCGGUUCAGCUGUAGCCAUUUCAUUCAUUUUCUGAGCGAUAGACUCGUACGCCGCCCGGUUGCGAUAGGGGUCGUCCAGUUUUCUUUGCACAAAGUCCUCGAUUCAACUAGCGACCAGACAUCUUGUGUCGCCGGAGUUCCAGCCACAGACAUCACCUUCAUCCGUCAUCCUAGUGGUCUUUGUAUGCGCUGCUAUCCUUUUAUCCGUUCAGCGCCAAACAGUCUCGCACUGAGACUACGUAGCUUCCAAUUUGAACAACGGCCGUCCUUCAUCGCUUUUUGUUUGUUUGUUUAUUAAUUACAGCGUUUAUAACAGUGCGGAACAAAACAGAUGUGCAUCCAAAUAUAUAUAUAUAAUAAGUCGCAUACCAGAUAUACAAUACACUAAAGAAAAAACACAAAAGGUGCAAACGGAUAAACAAACGAACAUAAUACCAAUAAACAAACAAAGUCUUUAAGAGGAAAGAGAGUCUUAUGCGAUUUAGCAUUGCUUGCUAGCGGAGAUACUCGGAGAAUAGUGUUUAAUCUCUUCUUUAAAAACCGUUGGUUAUCUCAUUCACUAUUGUGAAUGUGAAACUUGGCUAAUGAUGAAAAGACUGAUUAAAAAAAUAUUAAUUUAGCUUUUUUUUUUCCCCCACGCAAUAUAAAACCAAGUAGUACAUCCUUCUCAUAAAAGGGGGUGGAGCAUCACAAAUAUUCUGACAAAUUAAAAAAAAAAAAAAAAAAAAAAAA